rnacentral:rRNA from 1 species
UACGUAGGGUGCAAGCGUUGUCCGGAAUUAUUGGGCGUAAAGAGCUCGUAGGCGGUUUGUUGCGUCGGCUGUGAAAUCCCGAGGCUCAACCUCGGGUCUGCAGUCGAUACGAGCAAACUAGAGUGUUGCAGGGGAGACUGGAAUUCCUGGUGUAGCGGUGAAAUGCGCAGAUAUCAGGAGGAACACCAAUGGCGAAGGCAGCUCGCUGGGACGUGACUGACGCUGGAGACGCGAAAGACGUGGGGAGGCAAACAACGGAUUGAUGAAACCCUACGG